rnacentral:rRNA from 1 species
GACGAACGCUGGCGGCGUGCUUAACACAUGCAAGUCGAACGGUGAAGGGGUCUGCUUUUGUGGGCCCUGGAUGAGUGGCGAACGGGUGAGUAACACGUGAGUAACCUGCCCCCUUCUUCUGGAUAACCGCAUGAAAGUGUGGCUAAUACGGGAUAUUCUGGGUCUGUCGCAUGAUGGGUCUGGGAAAGAUUGCGCCUUUGGGUGUUUUUGGUGGGGGAUGGGCUCGCGGCCUAUCAGCUUGUUGGUGGGGUGAUGGCCUACCAAGGCGGUGACGGGGAGCCGGCCUGGGAGGGUGGACGGUCACACUGGGACUGCGACACGGCCCAGACUCCUACGGGAGGCAGCAGUGGGGAAUAUUGCACAAUGGGCGCAAGCCUGAUGCAGCGACGCCGCGUGAGGGAUGGAGGCCUUCGGGUUGUAAACCUCUUUCGCCAGUGAAGCAGGCCUGCUCCUUGUGGGUGGGUUGACGGUAGCUGGAUAAGAAGCGCCGGCUAACUACGUG